rnacentral:rRNA from 1 species
UACGUAGGGUGCGAGCGUUAAUCGGAAUUACUGGGCGUAAAGCGUGCGCAGGCGGUGAUGUAAGACCGAUGUGAAAUCCCCGGGCUUAACCUGGGAACUGCGUCUGAUACUGGAGGGCUUGAGUGCGGGAGAGGGAUGCGGAAUUCCAGGUGUAGCGGUGAAAUGCGCAGAUAUCAGGAGGAACACCGGUGGCGAAGGCGGUUCUCUGGGCAUGAUCUGACGCUGAGGAGCGAAAGUGUGGGGAGCGAACAGG